AGCGCCGCGCGUCCUCCCGCCGACGUGCCCACGCAGCCAAUCCACGGCCGCGCAGCUAUAGAGCGAAAGAGGAGGGGCUAUCGCUUCGGCGCAAGCGCCCUACUCGCGGCAGUCAUGACAAAUUUCCGCCAGCAGCGCGGUAGAGGGAGAAGGAAGGGACACUCUUGGUGGGGACGGCGACACGAGCGCAAGGAGGCGCUAUGGAGACGGAGGAAUGGCGUCUGAGGCCAAAGCGGAGAUUGGACAUGAGGCUCACCCAAUCCACUUUAGCUUGCUCCCAGGAGCAGCAGGACAGAACGCAGCCCUUCAUUCCCCAAGGCAAUUUUUAGAGCCCAAACCUUGCUUUCCUGGAGCCACAAAUUGCUUUUCUAGAUUUAAGCCCUUGCUUUUUUUCCCUCCUAACCGUGCAAGUCCUAUAGGACUUUGUUCGGAAAGUUAACUCAGAAAUUUUUCUGUAAUAAUUUGGGGUCUCCUCAUGCCUAACACCCUCUUUUGGACCGUCUUUUGGCAAAUGUAUGCCUUGAGAUCCAAAGAGGGGAAAUGAUUUUCUGAAACUGUGUAUAGCAUGUUGGAACCAGCUGCAGAGGAGCAAGUGGAAAGAGUAUUUUAUUAGGUAUCAGCAUAUUUGAGUAUUCAUCUACUGUGUCCUCGCUAUGGACUUGGUUAGAUGUUCACAAAGUGUUUUUCUGGAGCAGCAGCAGCUGCAUCGCCUGGGAACUUGAUUAGAGAUUCAAAUUAUCAGAACUCAGAGUUCCCGUCUUGGCUCAGCGGGUUAAGAACCCUACCAGUGCCUAGAAGGAUGUGAGUUGGAUCCCUGGCCUCGCUCUGUGGGUUGAAGGUCCGUCCUUGCUGCAAAUUCAGGCAUAGGUCACAGAUGUGGCUCGGAUUCAGUGUGACUGUAGCUGUGGCCGGCUUCUGCAGCUCUGAUUCAACCCCUAACCCAGGAACUUCCAUAUGCUGUGGGUGCAGCCCAAAAUGAAGGAAAACAAAACAAAACAUUCUCAGACUCCAUCCCGGACCUACUAAUUGGAAAUUCUGGCGCAGAGCGCACAAUCGGCAUUUCAUUAAGUCCACCAGGUGGUGCCAUGCUUGCUGUUCUGUGUAACAAGGCACUUCAUUCCAGUGAGACUCCCUGCUGGCAUGCAGUGUUGGAGACAGACUGAUCAUUCUAUCAUAGAAUAUUGGAAGAAUACUUAGCCCGGGUCAAAGACAGAAAAGGCCUCUCAGUACAGCCGUGCACGCAAAGGCAGCAGCAGACACUAGUUGAGCUGCUCACUUCAAUCCUGGCUAGAUGUGCAGGGGAGCCCCAAAGGAAAAAUAAGACCAAACAGCUGGGUGGAUGAAGGAACCAAAGACCUUUGAUACCAGGUAUCAUGCCAGCUAUCUCACUUGCAUUAUUUUUAAUCUGCACACAAGCCUGGAAGGUAAUAAGCAGUGUCCCCAAUGUACUACAGAGGGACCUGGAACCCAAGAGAUGAAAGAACUUUCCCCAAGUCACACAGACUCUGAGUGCAGAGCUGGGAUACAAACCCAGGUCUUCUGGCUUCAGGGGCCCCACUACGGUUCUCGUUCUGGUUUGCCAUGGACAGCUAAAGUCAUCAUCAUAGUCCUAAAAGCGAACACUUGUCCAACACAAAAUACACCAGGUGCUCUUCUGAACACUUCCCAUCUAACUACUCUUUUCAUCUUCAGCAGCCUAUGAGACAGGUUCUGUGAUGAUCUCCAUUUUAUCUGAACUGUUGAAGAAACAGAGGCCCUGAUCAGAGGUUCAGUGACUUGCUCAAGGUCACAAGUGCAAAGGCUGGGAUGUGAUCCAGACAGCCUGGUUCCAGGCAACUACCACUGUCAGGUAUUUGCAAACAUUCUUAAUAAGCAAUGGAAAUUAAAAAAAUUAAAUACCGGAAAAAGAGAUACCUCCAGGGAUUUAAACCAACCUUUCCUGACUGAGGAGCCACUGCAUUUCCUCACUUCAGAGGUCCUGCCAACUGACAUUUCCAACACCUUUUUCCUCAUUUUCUUUCACUUCAGCAUUUACCAAGCACCUAUCAGAUACCUGACACUGAGCUGACACUUAGGAUAAGGUGAAAAAUAAGACUAGGCCUCUGGAGUUAAGUGUGAUCUGAAGAGCAAUCAGUCAAGUACAAAUGCUGACCCAAUCCAGGUGCUGUGGGAGCGCACAGCUCCUCUAGAGGUCAGGGGUGGGAGCAAAGUGGUCUCCGGUAUCCAUGGGUGUGGCAGGAAUAUGGGGGGGGU